UACGGUAGGGUGCAAGCGUUAAUCGGAAUUACUGGGCGUAAAGCGUGCGCAGGCGGUUGUGCAAGACAGAUGUGAAAUCCCCGGGCUCAACCUGGGAACUGCAUUUGUGACUGCACGGCUGGGAGUGGCGGCAGAGGGGGAUGGAAUUCCGCGUGUAGCAGUGAAAUGCGUAGAUAUGCGGAGGAACACCGAUGGCGAAGGCAAUCCCCUGGGCCUGCACUGACGCUCAUGCACGAAAGCGUGGGGAGCAAACAGG
rnacentral:rRNA from 1 species